rnacentral:rRNA from 1 species
UACGAAGGGUGCAAACGUUGCUCGGAAUUAUUGGGCGUAAAGCGCACGUAGGCGGCUUUUCAAGUCCCAUAUGAAAGCCCACGGCUUAACCGUGGAAGUGCAUGGGAAACUGGAGAGCUUGAGUACUUAAGAGGAUCGCGGAAUUCCCGGUGUAGAGGUGAAAUGCGUAGAUAUCCGAAGGAACACCGGUGGCGAAAGCGGCGCGCUGGACCUCUACUGACGCUGAGGCGCGAAAGCCAGGGGAGCAAACGGG